rnacentral:rRNA from 1 species
UACGGGAGGCAGCAGUGAGGAAUAUUGGUCAAUGGGCGGAAGCCUGAACCAGCCAAGUCGCGUGCGGGAAGACGGCCCUACGGGUUGUAAACCGCUUUAGCCGGGGAGUAACGUGCGGCACGUGUGCCGCAGUGAGAGUACCCGGAGAAUAAGCAUCGGCUAACUCCGUGCCAGCAGCCGCGGUAAU